rnacentral:misc_RNA from 1 species
GAUGAAGAACGCAGCGAAAUGCGAUACGUAAUGUGAAUUGCAGAAUUCAGUGAAUCAUCGAAUCUUUGAACGCACCUUGCGCUCUUUGGUAUUCCGAAGAGCAUGCCUGUUUGAGUGUCAUGAAAAUAUCAACCUUGACUUGGGUUUUGUGCUCUAGUCUCGGCUUGGAAUUGGGUGCUAGCCGCUUUUACGAGCGGCUCACCUUAAAUGUAUUAGCUGGAUCUGUCUUUGAGACUUGGUUUGACUUGGCGUAAUAAGUAUUUCGCUAAGGACAUUCUUCGGAGUGGCCUCGUUUCUAGGACGCUUGUCCGCUUUCCAAUACAAGUUCCACCUCGUGGACAUGACUUUUUAUUAUCUGGCCUCAAAUCAGGUAGGACUACCCGCUGAACUUAAGCAUAUCAAUAAGCGGAGGA